GACGAACGCUGGCGGCGUGCCUAACACAUGCAAGUCGAACGGGGUUGAUCCUUCGGGAUUAACUUAGUGGCGAACGGGUGAGUAACGCGUGAGAAACCUGCCUUUCAGUGGGGGACAACAGUUGGAAACGACUGCUAAUACCGCAUAAUGUUAUUUGGGGGCAUCCCUGAAUAACCAAAGCUUUAUGUGCUGAAAGAUGGUCUCGCGUCUGAUUAGCUAGAUGGCGGGGUAACGGCCCACCAUGGCGACGAUCAGUAGCCGGUCUGAGAGGAUGAACGGCCACAUUGGGACUGAGAUACGGCCCAGACUCCUACGGGAGGCAGCAGUGGGGAAUAUUGGGCAAUGGGGGAAACCCUGACCCAGCAACGCCGCGUGAAGGAAGAAGGCCUUCGGGUUGUAAACUUCUUUACCUAGGGACGAAGAACGUGACGGUACCUGGAGAAAAAGCAAACGGCUAACUACGUG
rnacentral:rRNA from 1 species